rnacentral:rRNA from 1 species
UAGUUUGAUCAUGGCUCAGAACGAACGCUGGCGGCAGGCCUAACACAUGCAAGUCGAGCGCUACCUUCGGGUGGAGCGGCGGACGGGUUAGUAACGCGUGGGAACGUACCCUUUUCUACGGAAUAGCCUCGGGAAACUGAGAGUAAUACCGUAUAAGCCCUUCGGGGGAAAGAUUUAUCGGGAAAGGAUCGGCCCGCGUUAGAUUAGAUAGUUGGUGGGGUAAUGGCCUACCAAGUCUACGAUCUAUAGCUGGUUUUAGAGGAUGAUCAGCAACACUGGGACUGAGACACGGCCCAGACUCCUACGGGAGGCAGCAGUGGGGAAUCUUAGACAAUGGGCGCAAGCCUGAUCUAGCCAUGCCGCGUGUGUGAUGAAGGUCUUAGGAUCGUAAAGCACUUUCGCCAGGGAUGAUAAUGACAGUACCUGGUAAAGAAACCCCGGCUAACUCCGUGCCAGCAGCCGCGGUAAUACGGAGGGGGUUAGCGUUGUUCGGAAUUACUGGGCGUAAAGCGUACGUAGGCGGAUCAGAAAGUAUAGGGUGAAAUCCCAGGGCUCAACCCUGGAACUGCCUUAUAAACUCCUGGUCUUGAGUUCGAGAGAGGUGAGUGGAAUUCCAAGUGUAGAGGUGAAAUUCGUAGAUAUUUGGAGGAACACCAGUGGCGAAGGCGGCUCACUGGCUCGAUACUGACGCUGAGGUACGAAAGUGUGGGGAGCAAACAGGAUUAGAUACCCUGGUAGUCCACACCGUAAACGAUGAAUGCCAGUCGUCGGGCAGUAUACUGUUCGGUGACACACCUAACGGAUUAAGCAUCCGCC